rnacentral:rRNA from 1 species
UACACUCCUACGGUAGGCAGCAGUGGGGAAUAUUGCACAAUGGGCGCAAGCCUGAUGCAGCCAUGCCGCGUGUAUGAAGAAGGCCUUCGGGUUGUAAAGUACUUUCAGCGGGGAGGAAGGCAAUACGGUUAAUAACCGUGUUGAUUGACGUUACCCGCAGAAGAAGCACCGGCUAACUCCGUGCCAGCAGCCGCGGUAAUACGGAGGGUGCAAGCGUUAAUCGGAAUUACUGGGCGUAAAGCGCACGCAGGCGGUCUGUCAAGUCGGAUGUGAAAUCCCCGGGCUCAACCUGGGAACUGCAUUCGAAACUGGCAGGCUUGAGUCUUGUAGAGGGGGGUAGAAUUCCAGGUGUAGCGGUGAAAUGCGUAGAGAUCUGGAGGAAUACCGGUGGCGAAGGCGGCCCCCUGGACAAAGACUGACGCUCAGGUGCGAAAGCGUGGGGAGCAAACAGGAUUAGAUACCCCUGUAGUCCCAUG